UGGUCAUGCAUGCAAUAUUAAACGACAAUUUUCAAUUUGUCGUCAUCGUCAAAUUAAUGAAGAAAUACUGAAUAAAACAAUCUGAACAUAAAACGAAUAAAUAAUAUUAUUAUUAAGUUAUGUUCUGUCACGCAUAUGAUUUUGUUCCUGGGGCUGAGAUUGCUUUCAGCAUAUAAAGUGAACGCAACGCCAGACGAAGCACAAUAUCAUUAUGAAAAUUCUGAGGGCAUUCAUGUUGCUAUGCAUAGUCACACUGUGGCUUUGCACCGACCAAUGUAUGGCAAUCGGGCGAGGACGGCGAGCCAACAUAAAAAAGGAAGCUUGUAUCGGACCCACAAACGUAUGUAAUUAUAUAAAAGACGAUGUGGCUGUUAGACUGGCAGUGUUGUCAGAAGAUGGCUCUCUCUGUGCAUGUGAGGCGAAGGCGCUUAUUAACUUUAGACCGCGAUAAACGAGUCUAGAUCAGCUGCAUAAAUCUCCUGAAUAAAAUAUCUAUGGUGAAA